rnacentral:rRNA from 1 species
UACGGAGGGUGCAAGCGUUAAUCGGAAUUACUGGGCGUAAAGGGUGUGUAGGCGGUCCCUUAAGUUUGGUGUGAAAUCCUCCCGGCUCAACUGGGGAGGGUGCGCCGGAUACUGAGGGGCUAGAGUGCGGGAAGGGAAAGUGGAAUUCCUGGUGGUAGCGGUGAAAUGCGUAGAUAUCAGGAGGAACACCGGUGGUGCAAACGGCUUUCUGGACCGUAACUGACGCU